AAACUGAAGAGUUUGAUCCUGGCUCAGAUUGAACGCUGGCGGCAUGCCUUACACAUGCAAGUCGAACGGCAGCACGGAGCUUGCUCUGGUGGCGAGUGGCGAACGGGUG
rnacentral:rRNA from 1 species